GAUGAAGAACGCAGCGAAAUGCGAUAAUUAAUGUGAAUUGCAGAAUUCCGUGAAUCAUCGAGUCUUUGAACGCACAUUGCGCCUCAUGGCAUUCCGUGAGGCAUGCCCAUCUCAGCGUUAGAAAAUAUUCUCAAAUUUUAGUUUUGUGCUAAAAUUUGGAUCAUGUCAAGGAAGCUAUUACUAUUAUUGUGAUCGCUCUUUGGAAAUUGAUAGGUCUUUGAGUUGCUACUCAUAGAACGUGAUGAAUCUUUCUUCGUUCUAUUGUAAUUCGCUCUGGUAGUCCUAAAACUUGUAUGCCUGUGGCAUAUCUUGUAAUUUGACCUGAGAUUGGGUAGGGAUACCCGCUGAACUUAAGCAUAUCAAUAAGCGGAGGA
rnacentral:misc_RNA from 1 species